rnacentral:rRNA from 1 species
UGGGGAAUAUUGGACAAUGGGCGCAAGCCUGAUCCAGCCAUGCCGCGUGAGUGAUGAAGGGCCCUAGGGUUGUAAAGCUCUUUCACCGGUGAAGAUAAUGACGGUAACCGGAGAAGAAGCCCCGGCUAACUUCGUGCCAGCAGCCGCGGUAAUACGAAGGGGGCUAGCGUUGUUCGGAUUUACUGGGCGUAAAGCGCACGUAGGCGGACUUUUAAGUCAGGGGUGAAAUCCCGAGGCUCAACCCCGGAACUGCCUUGAUACUGGAAGUCUUGAGUAUGGUAGAGGUGAGUGGAAUUCCGAGUGUAGAGGUGAAAUUCGUAGAUAUUCGGAGGAACACCAGUGGCGAAGGCGGCUCACUGGACCAUUACUGACGCUGAGGUGCGAAAGCGUGGGGUAGCAAACAGGAUUAGAUA